rnacentral:rRNA from 1 species
GACAGAGGGUGCAAACGUUGUUCGGAAUUACUGGGCGUAAAGCGUGUGUAGGCGGUUUGCUAAGUCGGGUGUGAAAGCCCCGGGCUCAACCCGGGAAGUGCACUCGAAACUGGCAGGCUAGAGUACUGGAGAGGUUGGUGGAAUUCCCGGUGUAGAGGUGAAAUUCGUAGAUAUCGAGAGGAACACCGGUGGCGAAGGCGGCCAACUGGACAGAUACUGACGCUGAGACACGAAAGCGUGGGGAGCAAACAGG